UGAUGUACAAGGCUGACCAGGAGUCAUGCAGACAUCUGCAGAGUGGGCAGACACCAGUUGCCCUCCACACCCUGCUCUGAGGGGCAGGAAGCCAGUCUGGCAUCGCUGGAGCAUGAGCUGGGGUUCCUCUCGGAAACUGUGUAAAGUGACGACUUCAGGGCCUGGGCAUUAGAAGUUCUGCUAGUGAUCCUGGUCUACAGAUGGUCUUGCAGAAAGGCCCACAGGCCACCAGGCACAGGCAUUUCUUCGCAACUCCCUAUGAAUUCUAAUUAUUUCAAAAUACAAAGUUAGAACUUUUUUUUUUUUCAGUAAGUGGGUUAGAAUAUAAAGUUGUAGAAAGUUCCCAGAAAGAAGAACAGAGUCAAAGAGAUUGGAAAACAGAAGAGAGUAAAAUAGAUCAAUCGAGAGGAAAGAGAUCUGAAUGAUAAGAGGUCCAGAAACAGAGAAAGCAGAGGGAAGAUUAUCAAAGAAAUAACUAAAGAAUUGUUCCUAGAGGUAGAAGAUAUGAAUUUCCACAUCCAAAGGGUCCACCAAAGACACUAUACAACGAAUGAAAAAGGACACGCAGUGAGGAACAAUCUGCUUAAAUUCAUUAGAAGCCAGAAGAAAAGGGGGAAACGGGAUGCUGGGCUGGACAAAGUGUCUUAAGAAAAUAAAGCCAUCCAAGAUAGAUGGAGGAAGAUG